UUGUGUUGAAGGCGGGCUCACAGUGAGCAGCAGAGAGGAGCGGCUCGGUGCGGAGUGACACGGCGUUAUCUUUUACAUGAUUAAAACACUAAACAAAGAGGAAUACUCACUCGGAUCCACAGAAACACCUCUGAAACAUCCAGUCCGUCAUGGAGUCUUAUGACAUUUUAGCUAACCAGCCGGUGGUGAUCGAUAAUGGCUCGGGGGUUAUCAAGGCUGGCUUUGCAGGAGACCAGAUCCCCAAAUACUGCUUCCCUAACUAUGUGGGGCGUCCCAAGCAUGUGCGUGUGAUGGCAGGAGCCCUGGAGGGAGACCUCUUCAUCGGACCCAAGGCAGAGGUAACACACACACACACAUGUAAAGUUUGAGAUAAUCUCAUAGAAGAGUUCCUAUUGGAUCAAACUUUGAUGAUAUCGUUUCCUCUGGUUCGGCACGGUUUUCUCUGCUGCUGCUCGACACAGUUUUCUAUUUUUUUGGGCAAACAUGAAAGUUAAAACAACCUGUAAGUCACUGUAGGCCCAAGAAGCCAAUGACAUCAACUAGGAAGCUUUAGCUCCACUUUCUAAUCACAUUAUUCUUCUUCGUCUUUGAGAAUAGCUCUGUGUUAGCGAGCCCUUAGAGCUCCUCCAGUGAUCUCCUUCCUGUAUUGGACUGAAUCAGUUUAUUGCCAUACUUAAAGAUCAGCAGAGCUCAAUACAACAUUUAUAAAAACAUCCUCUUGCAAUGUCACUUCUGUUCCUGGCUUUUUUUUUUCAUGGCUGUUGCUCUGCAAAAUCUCUGAUUGGUUUUUUCUUCAGAUAGAUUCAAAUAGAAAUUAGCAGAGCAGCAGUUGCUGCCUUCCUAGCUUGAAGGCUAAGACGCUUUCUGCACUCUACACAGAGGGUGUGUUUGAAUUGUCCCUCCUAUCUCCUUCACUAUCCACUUCACCUUAACCCGGGGAAAACGUCAUGAGGUCAAGGAA